rnacentral:rRNA from 1 species
UGGGGAAUAUUGCACAAUGGGCGCAAGCCUGAUGCAGCAACGCCGCGUGAGGGACGACGGCCUUCGGGUUGUAAACCUCUUUUGGCAGGGAAGAAGCGAAAGUGACGGUACCUGCAGAAAAAGCACCGGCUAACUACGUGCCAGCAGCCGCGGUGAUACGUAGGGUGCAAGCGUUGUCCGGAAUUAUUGGGCGUAAAGAGCUCGUAGGCGGUUUGUCGCGUCUGCUGUGAAAACCCGAGGCUCAACCUCGGGCCUGCAGUGGGUACGGGCAAACUAGAGUGCGGUAGGGGAGAUUGGAAUUCCUGGUGUAGCGGUGGAAUGCGCAGAUAUCAGGAGGAACACCGAUGGCGAAGGCAGAUCUCUGGGCCGUAACUGACGCUGAGGAGUGAAAGCAUGGGGAGC